CGACCUCCGUCUGUGGGGAUAUCUCAACCGCAUCCUGCACCUAUGAAUGCGGAACCCGUGGUUCGUGGACAAUUGUGGACAACUCCAUCUUCGCAUAUGGGAUUAUCUCCACCUGGACCAGCAGGACUUGCAUUAAAAUUCUGCUGAUGAUGAAUCGGUAACCUAUACAAUCAAGGGAAAGGGCCGUAGUAAGAACAAGGGUGAACAGAGGGCAAAGCAGAAGACAAGGGCAGAGCAGUGGACAAUGACAGUGCAGGGAACGAGGGAAUAUAACUUCAAAUGUGACGCACAAAGUGUGAAGCAACAAUCUGAAAAUAGGACACUGUUAAAGGAACUUAUAACAGGGAUGUCAACUGAUAAUGUGAGAAAACUGUCUGAAAAUAACUGAAAGUGAGCUAGGAAUUGUGUUUGAUUUAUGUGAAAUAAGUACAUCACCAUCACCAUAUAGAUAUCAUCCCCCACAAGAACAGACUAGUCCAAGUUGAUAUAAGUGUGGUAAUUGUAGAGAGAUGACAACAGAAAUUGCUGUGACAACCUUCCACAACAACCAGAAAUUGAAUGUUAGUACUGGACGAGCAAGUUUUGCGACUUGCAUACACAUACAGAAAGGACAGUUUGGAACUCCACAACUUGAUGCUUGGUUACUACAACAAGACCAUGAGGCAUACAACCUAUAGCCAGUUUGUCUUGUUGAGACAAGGUCGUCUGGGUGUGAUAUCAAGCUGUUGUGUUUCGAGAAUCCUGUAUAAAUUUCCACACCAAUGUGGCAGUUAGUGAGUUUCACACGUGAUAGACUGGCUUAAUAGCUUAUUGUGGUUUAAAGACAACAUUCAAAGAUUGAUUGGAAUCGACUUCGUUUCUUGGAAACCAGAACUUCUGUUGCCUCUGGUUCUAUCUCUGCAAUGGUUCUGGAUAUCCUUCUUGGAUCAUCCUGUGAGAUUGUCACUGGAUGUUGCAUGUUCAAAUAUGCCUCAUCUAUUCUUUUGUGCAUGAUCUGUGUUAAUAAUUCAAGAAUGUACUGGUACAAUUUCUUUUCCAAAACGGGCACCACACUCUUACUCCGCUUGGAAUAUAUUCGAUGAUGCCUGAAAUUAAUGAUAAAUAUGGACAAUUAGUACAUGAAAUAUUUAAAUGUGUGGAAGGUACUGUUAAUUGUCUAUAAAGUUCAAAUAUAUUAAACAUUUAUUUAUGCAUUCCACAAGAUCUAACCAUUUCACUCAUUUAACUCUUAUACAAGUGACAAAAUAAAUCUUUAUAUGUUGAUAUACAUGUACAAUACUGAAAAUUGCUAUAUAUAUUUAUAUGAAUAAUUACUGAGAAUCUGAAAAUACAAGAAUAAUGGUAAACAAAAUAAUUUACUAACUUGGUUAAAUAACUCUUCUUCAUAAUUAAACAAAAUAAAAAAUUGAUAUAUAUAUAUAUAUAUAUACACACUGAAUAUACUAAUACAUUUGGAGAAAUAACCAGAAAAUGUAAAAAGAACAAAAUAAAAAUGCUUUUUGUUUUAGGUGACAUAAAAAAUUAAUAAGAGAGGGCUUGUUCAAAAGUUCGCAUUUAGACUUUGCCAACACACAUGCGUACCUCCUUCAAAAAGCCUGGAUCUGUCCCUGAUGUGUGUGUGUGUGUGUGUGUGUGUGUGUGUGUGUUUACACAUUGUAUAUGUAAAUAAAUAUGUAUUGACAAAAA
rnacentral:misc_RNA from 1 species